rnacentral:rRNA from 1 species
AAUAAGUCUUGUUUGAGAGAUUAGGUAUAUUGGAUAUAAAUUUUAAAAAAGAAAUUAUAUUAUGGAAAAUUAGUAUUAAAAAGAAAUUUUUGAUUAAACUAGAGAGGAAUAGUAUCGUAAGAGAAGGAAGUAUAUAAAUUAGGAAAAAGUAAAAGUUAAUUUUUGUACCUUUUGUAUCAGGGGUAGCUAAUAUAAUUGUUAUAUUGGGCGGGGUCUCGAAGUGAGGAGAGCUAAUUUGUUAGUUAUAAUUAUGUAUUAAAAUAAUAUGGAAUGGCAGGUUAGUAAUGAUAUUUUAGUCGAGCCUUAUAUAUCUAGUUUUUCUUGAAAGAAAUUUAAUUUUACUAUUAUUAGUUUAGAUGUAGUAUUGGGGAAAAGCAGAGGGGAAGAGCUCUUUGUUUAAAUUUUCUAUGAAGGUGGGGAUUUGAUUUAUUGAAUUAGGCUUAAAAUUAGCUAUAUUUAUAAAGCGUUCUAGUUAAGAUAAAGAUAAUUUAAUUUUAUAUACUUUCUAGAGGUUAUAGGGAAAAAUAAUUGUUAAUUAUGAGUAAUUAAAUAAAAUGGUUAUAUAAGUAUAUAGUAAUGUGAAUUUAUUAGUUUAAAAUUAGGGAAAUAAAAUACUUUUUUUUAGAUAUAAAAAAGGAAUUCGGCAAAUAAGGCUUCUGCCUGUUUAUCAAAAACAUGUUUUUACGAUAAUAUGUAAAGUUUGGCCUGCCCACUGAAAAUUUUUAAAGGGCCGCGGUAAUUUGACCGUGCGAAGGUAGCAUAAUCAAUAGUCUUUUAAUUGAAGGCUGGAAUGAAUGGUUGGACAAGAAGCAUUCUGUCUUUUUUAUAAGGAUUGAAUUUAACUUUUAAGUGAAAAGGCUUAAUUGAUUUAAGGGGACGAUAAGACCCUAUAAAACUUUAUAUUAAUAUAUUAGUUUUUAAAUUUAAGUUUAAAGUAUACUAGUGUUAGGGAUAUUAUGUUGGGGCGACAAGAAUAUAAUUGUAACUGUUUGUUAGUUGAAAUAGGUAUUUUUAGAUAAUUUUGAUCCUUUAAUGGGGAUUAUAAGAAUAAGUUACUUUAGGGAUAACAGCGUUAUUUUUUCUGAGAGUUCUUAUCGACGAAAGUAGUUGCGACCUCGAUGUUGAAUUAAAGUUUCAGUGGGGUGUAGAAGUUCCAUUGGUAGGUCUGUUCGACCUUAAAAACUUUACAUGAUUUGAGUUCAAACCGGUGUAAGCCAGGUUGGUUUCUAUCUUUUAGUAUUAUUAAUACUGUUUUAGUACGAAAGGAUCCAACAGUAGAAAUAUUUUUUAAAUUAGGAUUAACAUUAAU